UACGUAGGGGGCUAGCGUUGUCCGGAAUCAUUGGGCGUAAAGAGCGUGUAGGCGGCCCGGUAAGUCCGCUGUGAAAGUCGGGGGGCUCAACCCUCGAGACGUCGAUGGAAACCAUCUGGCUAGAGUCCGGAAGAGGAGAGUGGAAUUCCUGGUGUAGCGGUGAAAUGCGCAGAUAUCAGGAAGAACACCUAUGGCGAAGGCAGCUCUCUGGGACGGUACUGACGCUGAGACGCGAAAGCGUGGGGAGCGAACAGGG
rnacentral:rRNA from 1 species